rnacentral:rRNA from 1 species
GUGAAGCGGCAAUAGCUCAAAUUUGAAAUCUGGCGUCUUUGGACGUCCGAGUUGUAAUUUGUAGAGGAUGUUUCGGUAUUAGCUCCGGUCUAAGUCCCUUGGAACAGGGUGUCGCAGAGGGUGAGAAUCCCGUACGCGACCGGCUGCUUUUGCCAUGUGAAACUCCUUCGACGAGUCGAGUUGUUUGGGAAUGCAGCUCUAAUUGGGAGGUAAAUUUCUUCUAAAGCUAAAUACUGGCCAGAGACCGAUAGCGCACAAGUAGAGUGAUCGAAAGAUGAAAAGCACUUUGGAAAGAGAGUUAAAAAGUACGUGAAAUUGUUGAAAGGGAAGCGCUUGCAAUCAGACCUGCUUGCAGUUGUUCAUCUAAGCUUUUGCCUAGUGCAUUCUUCUGCAAGUCAGGCCAGUAUCAGUUCGGGCGGUUGGAUAAAGAAUUCAGGAAUGUAGCUCCUUUCGGGGAGUGUUAUAGCCUGUUUUGUAAUGCAACCAGCCCGGAUUGAGGACCGCG